CACUCUCGUAUCAGAGCAUCAAGGAACUCUGCAGAGCACAGCGUGAAUUCACCCGGAAAAGUCAAUUUUUUAGGAGCCUUUUAAAAGCAACAUUUGCAUCAAACACGCUGGUCCCUGGAGAUUUAAAACGGUUUUUCACUUGCUUGCUCCCUCCAUCUGAAUGCAAAUUGUGGGAUCACAUGUGGAAGAGAUUAGUAGGGGAUCUCCUUCCACAGCUUCUGUAGAACCCUGAAUGCUCCACCGAUACAGAUGAAAACUUUGAUACUAGAAAUAGUCUCCAGCAAUGCCAACGAAGCCUGCAGAAAAGUCAUCCUGUCCUUUCACUUCAACUCCAGCUCCCAAUCUAGGACCAACUUAUUGAGGAGUGCACCAAGAAAGCUAUGAUUACUGUGGAAGACACCCCGAGGAAACCAGUUGUGCGGGAACAGAUAGCAGCUCCACCAGCUGUUACCCAAGGGAAUCAACCACCUAGGAGGAGAUACUUCCACUGACAUCAAGAAGGACAUUUUAUAAGCCAAUGCCCCUUCAAAGGAAGGCGCCACCAGAUGGGGGAGGGGCAGGGGAGGAGAAAGCUUCCCAGCCCCAAAAAAACUAAGUGUGGAGUGUGGGUCUGCCCCACACAUUGAUAAAAACGCGGCAGACCACAGAGGGGUUGCUAGUGAUAUUGCUAGCAGCUAUGUUACCAUGAACAAUAAUAGACUUCCUUACUGGCUCAAACUUAAGGACCCUAUGUUUUUUUCCCAAUCAGGACUGGCAUGUUGUCGCUGCAGAACCCGGACUCAUUCCUCAUAUCCAGCAGGCGGAGGACCACAGGCACAUUAAAUCACUAAACUGCAAGUACCUUGUUGUCAGGGACACCAAGCCCACUCCUCCAGGGAUCCUGGGCGAUCAGUCUCAUGGCGUGCUGUGUCCACCCCCACCUCUUCCUGCGAGAAGGCCAGGUCAUCAUGCAGGCCAUUCCAGUGCCUUACAGCCUUUAUGAUGACCUGGACCUUUCUGUUUAUUUCACCAAAGUGCUGGGAGAGGACAAGCCCUCUCAUAUCGUGUGACCUUAAGAGCAGGGGGCAUUCCAUCCAGCUGCAGGGGAUGAUGGACACGGGGGCAGAAGUUACAGUCAUUCCUCCACACAAAUGUCCGUCACAGUGGGAGCUGAAAAUGUGUGCAGCAAGGUUCUGGGCACUGGGGCUUCUCAACUGGCUAAAAGAUCCAGAAGCAUUGUACAAAUUGAGGCACUGAAUGGGCAAUUGGCCUCUGUACGCCCAUUUGUGUUGAAUUCCAAGUUCACUCUGUGGGGGAGAGACACCAUGUCUCAAUGGGGGGCCAAAUUGGAACUUCCAGGCCCUUAGAAUUUUUAAUGGUGGUCACUGAGGAGCGCCCUACUCAGAAGCUAAAUUGGCUGACAGAUACACCGGUCUGGGUAGAAUAGUGGCUGCUAAAUAAACAGAAAUUAAAUGUGCUCACUCAAAUAGUGGAGGAGUUAGCAGAAGGUGAUAUCAUCGAAACUAACAGCCCCUGGAAUUCCCCAGUGUUUUGUCAUCAAAAAGAAGGGGAAGGACGAGUGGUGUCUCCUUCAUGAUUUGAGAAAAAUAAAUAAUCUCAUCAAAGACAUGGGGUCCCUCCAACCAGGCAUGCCAUCCGCCUCAAUGCUCCCCCAAAAUUGGUCAUUGGCAGUAAUAGAUAUCAAAGACCUGCUUUUUUCAAAUUCCCCUCCACCCAGUUGACACUCUGCACUUUGCCUUCUCUGUGCCCUCCAUCAACAGAGAAGCCCCCAUGAAGUGCUACCACUGGAAAGUAUUGCCUAAAGGCCUCAAAUGCUCUCCUUCCAUCUGCCAGUGGUAUGUCGCCAGAGUUCUGUCCCCGGUGGCGCCAGAGCAGGAAAUUGUGUCAUUUAUCAUUACAUGGAUGCUGUGCUUGUGAGUGCGCCUGAUGACAAUGUGCUUGCAGCAGCGCUUGAGGACACUAUCACUGCCUUGUUGGCAGCUGGAUUUGAGUUGCAAAAGGACAAAGUACAGAAACUGCCGCCUUGGAAGUAUCUGGGCCUUGGAGAUCGCAAACAGGACCACUACACCAUAGAGAGCCCUCAUCAAUGAUAAUCCGAAGACUUUACGAGACCUCCAACUCCUAUUUCUGACAUGGUGCCGGAUUCACCUGCUAGGCCCCGACAACAUGUUAAGAGUGGGCUGUUCUCAGAAGUGAUCCAACACACAGCUAGGCAUAGGCUCUAUGGCACUAUGAUGUAACAAGGUGCAGGCAGAAGCAGUGACAAGGGAGAGGUCUUUCAUAUUGUUUCUACGGAGUGUCAUUUCCAAGAAGAGUCCUGAGACAAAAGACUCCAAAUCUUGGUGUACAGGGACUUUUAUAUAGAGGAGGUUCUAUUGACCAAUAGGGAGAAGACUGGGGAGGAGCACAAGGUGGGGUUUACAAUACUUAACCCCAUGAGGAGGCUCAGGGGGAGGGGAAGAGUCUGAACAAACCAAUGGGGCUUUGAAGAACAGGGGAUUUCCCAAAGCAAGGGGCUGGCACCAGGCGGGACUCACAACUGGGUAGGAGAGACAGGGUACAUUCUGUAUCAAAGGGCAGGUCUAGAGCAAGAUGGACAACUAGGUGGAAGGAUACAAUUUGGACUGAAUUAACAGUACAGGAGGGAAUGGAACAAACCAUUAGGGAUAAAAACACACUGCAACAUAUAUCCACUUUUGAAAGCAACCUGUUUGCCUUAGAAUCUCAGUCUGAAUUUUGUUGUGCUUUUUCUAUCACAGUUUUCACAGCAUUUCCCCGCAACAGAUACCUGAAAGGUGUUUUUCAAUAGAGCACUUUGAAUAAUACUUAAAACUAA